CAAAUACUUUCCUCCCCACCUUGAUUUUGGUCAUGGUGUUUCAUCACAGCAGUGACAUUCCUUUGAGAAGCCCGAAGGAAGGAUUCUGGGGAAAGCCUCUCAUCCAGCUGCCCAUCAGCCCAAGAUCAGCUUCCGUGUUUGGAGAGAGAAGGCAUCAUUCAUGGUACACGCCUACAUCAAGGUGUCGGUGCCACAGAAGCCUCGAAAGCUGCAGAGAGGAACCGCCAUGGCUCUGGAUCCUAAGUAGUCCAUAAUCUUACUAAGAGCAACAGACUCGUAAACAGGGAUUACACCUGAACGACAGAAGGUCAACUCAAACUAGAGGGGGAGGGAACAGAAGAAAGAUGGGCAUGGGAGAAACGAGGCUGUGGUGAGAGUCCAUUGGUCUGGUUGGAGUCCUCAGUCAUGUGGCGCUGUAGUGGGCCAGUGGGUGGGAGGUGGCCCCUGAGCGACUGGA